AUAAGACAUACGGACAGUUUAAUAUAGUAUUUGGCACAUAUCUACUUGGAUGCUACUUUCCAGUAGUAUUAUUAUCACUACUGUUGCUGCAUUGGUAUUAUUAUUACUGUUACUUACCCAAAACCUGUCAAUUACUAAUAUUGCUUCCACUAGUUAGUGAAGUAGAAACCCAGAUAAAAGCUUUACAUACAUAAUCUCAUGUAAUCUUUUCAGCCGUGCUAUGAGGUCUGCAUUGAUAUUCUCCAUUACAAAUAAGGAAACUGAUACACAGAGAGGUUGAUUGGCUGCCUAAAACCACACAGCCUUUAUGUAGCUCACCGUGAACUCUUAGAAACAAGCAAUGCCUGCUAAGAAAUCCCCAGUCAAACCAGCCUUUGCAUAAAAAGAUGGAGUCUCGCUGUCACCCAGAGUCGAGUGCAGUGGCACAAUCUUGGCUUACUACAACCUCCGCCUCCCGGGUUCAAGCGAUUUUCCUGCCUCAGCUUCCCGAGUAGCUGGGACUACAGGUGCGCACCACCACACCCAGCCUUAAGUUUGAAUAAUUUGUAAUUACUACUGGCUAUAAGAAAUCCUUGUUAUAGUUGAAUAAUAAUUAUCACUAUAAGGGCUAACACUCUGCACUCAAUUUGUUUCAGGGGCCAUGCUAACGACUUUAUGUGUAUUGACUUAUUUAUUCUUCACAUCCACAAAGAUGAUAUUUGGUAGUAUUAAUUCUACUAUUUAAAAGGAGAGUGUUCACACAUGCAAAUUGAGAGUGAUUCUUAUAACCCUUCUUUUGUGUCUCCUAAUCCUGUGUUGUACACAUCCCUGGAGCUUAACACACUUUCACUAUGUCUGGGCCAAAACUCUUCAACAAUUUAUUGGCUUAAUAAUCAAGGUUGCAUUUCAGAAGCCAUUGCAUUUAAAUACAGAUUGUAUUAUGUUUUUGUGCCUAACAUAUCAGUACAAAAUUUGACAGACACAGUAGUCAUUGUGAUUCUUUGUCAUAUCUGGCAAGCUAUGAAGAGGGGUAGGCAAAAGUCCAGAACCCGUCUCUAUCCUGCCAAAGUGUGUGGCCCUUGCCAGACCUCACCAGUGUGUCUUUCUCGCAUUUUUGAGAAGGGGCAGGGAAACUCCACACAUGGCAGAGUGAUGAGCUUGUGGAAAUAAUAAUGACACAACUAGAUUAAUGUGUGCAAAUAUACAGUGAGAUGGAAGAAAUGAGACCUGGUGUUCAGAUGAGUAGGAUGCCACAGUUAACAUUAACCAGUUGUACAUUUCAAAAUAACUAGAAGAGAAUACUUGAAGUGUUCCUAGCAUAAAGAAAAGAUAAAUGUUUAGGUGAUGGAUAUGCCAGUUACCAUGAUUUGAUUUUAUGAAUGUAUGAAAUUAUCACAUGCAUCCCUAAAAUAUGUACAUGUAUUUUUAUCAAUA
rnacentral:lncRNA from 1 species